AGAGGCUGGCCAUGGUGAAUUCGAUUCAUCAAAGCGAGUCAUACACGGCUCUCCUCUCU
rnacentral:pre_miRNA from 1 species